AUUGAACGCUGGCGGCAGGCCUAACACAUGCAAGUCGAGCGAGCGGCGGACGGGUGAGUAAUGUCUGGGAAACUGCCUGAUGGAGGGGGAUAACUCCUGGAAACGGUAGCUAAUACCGCAUACCAUCAGAUGUGCCCAGAUGGGAUUAGCUGGUAGGUGGGGUAACGGCUCACCUAGUCGACGAUCCCUAGCUGGUCUGAGAGAAUGACCAGCAACAGUGGAACUGAGACAAGGUCCAGACGCCUACGGGAGGGAGCAGUGGGGAAUAGUGAACAAUGGGCGCAAGCCUGAGGCAGCCAUGCCGCGUGUGUGAAGAAGGCCUUCGGGUUGUAAAGCACUUUAAGCGGGGAGGCGUUACCCGCAGAAGAAGCACCGGCUAACUCCGUGCCAGCCGCCGCGGUAAUUC
rnacentral:rRNA from 1 species